GAAAACAAUUUACAGAUCUCUUCCUCCACCCCCUUUCCUCUGUAGCUCGUUCCUGUUCCCUUGCUAUGAAAAGUUUGGUUGUCUUCUCCUUUUUCUGGCUGAGUCUUUCCACGGCAGUUAGCUGCCAUGGUGAUAGAAGUUAGAGAAAUUAGUACAAAGAAGAGUCAUAAUUAACAAUUGACUGACAGUCCCAUCUGACCUGAGACAGUAGCUGAAAGCUGCCUCCCACUUCAAUCUGCUUGCCACGAAACAGCCAGGAACAGGCAGAUCCAGUAGCCAAGGUGGUGUGGCUAUUGGCUCCGUUCCUGCAGUGGCUGCCCUCAGUGGAUUUGGUGCUCGGUGAGGAUGUGUCACCAUUGCCCUCUUCUGGAUCCACAGCCAAGCCUGCUCCAAAGCCUGGGAGAUGUCACUGUCUGGUGAUGGCAACACGUGGAGACUCCAAGGGAACUGUUUCAGAGAAUGGUGACUGAGCUGCAGGGCAGAUUCACAGCAGAUGGUGGAUUCAAAGGGAAGGAGAUAUUAGAAAACAAAUUAACGCUAAAUAUAUGACUAAUUCCG